rnacentral:lncRNA from 1 species
CCACGUUAUUGUUCCAAUACAACUGCUCUAAUGGCUCGCUAUCGUAUAUCGCGUUCAGAAAGGGGUCUUUCGUUUCUCGCAUUACUUUCACCAGUUCAGGUAUCCAUACUUUCUCUGCUAAUUCGUACAUUUCUUCAAUCAUGUCUUGGCUAACUUUUGUUGUGAGCGAAUUUCCCUGAGUUUUAAUGAUUUGAAUAAAUAUAAGUAAUAAAGAGUAUAAUGGGAGCGGAAUAUGUAAGUAUUUAUAUGCUACCUCAAAACGAGGCUCUUCUUGAUUGAGAUACCAAACCCAAUUGAACCUUCGGUUGAUUAACUCGUGAAAGACAACAUGCCCUUCUGAGCCUAAGUCGAAAUAACAAGAGUUACCGAGAUCAAGGUACGCUUUCUUGAUUGCCUUUAGUGUUUCUGAGUUCUCGUUGUCUGAAUAAUCGAUUACCCCUCUCCAUGCACAAUAACCCGAAUAUCUAUAAUGAAAAAGAUGGUUUAUCUCAAACUUAUUCAGAAUCGAAUAUGUUAGAAUAGAAAAGUAGAAAAAGCUAGAAUACAAUUAGCCACAACAAAACAUCUACAGCUAAACCUCUAUAAAUUAAUACAGUCGGGACUAGGGAAAUUCUAUUAAUUUAGUGAAUUAUUAACUUAUCGAGUUAAUAAUUUAACAUGUUUUCACCGAGUCGAGUUUAUUAAUUUAUCGAGGUUCUACUGUAAUUAGCAAAGACUUGUUUAUAUAGUUGGUUUGAUAUAAUACCUGAGUUUGUGAUCAGGGAGAAAAUGUUUUCGUAUAGGAGAGAGGCUACCAUCAGCUGCGACAAGAAGAUCGGCAACUAUCUCGACAGUUUCGUCGGUUUGAAGAAGCUUAGCUACCACUUUGACCGAACUUUUAUCUUCAGAAAUGGACAAGGAUAAGAAGAAGUGUCCCCACAAGAGAACAACCUCCGGC